GUUCUGAAGGCAAGAAGAUGUGGAAACCGGAUCCCUAGCUCCAUGCUCCAUCCGGAUAUGCCAGCUGGUAUAUUUCCCUUGAGUCUUCCUCUUCUUCCUGUGGAUUAUUUGAAGCCGACCACAGUCUGCCUUCACGUGA